rnacentral:rRNA from 1 species
CGGUUUUAGUGGCGGACGGGUGAGUAACGCGUGGGUAACCUGCCUCACACUGGGGGAUAACACUUAGAAAUAGGUGCUAAUACCGCAUAAGCGCACGGGACUGCAUGGUCUUGUGUGAAAACUCCGGUGGUGUGAGAUGGACCCGCGUCUGAUUAGCUGGUUGGCGGGGUAACGGCCCACCAAGGCGACGAUCAGUAGCCGGCCUGAGAGGGUGGACGGCCACAUUGGGACUGAGACACGGCCCAAACUCCUACGGGAGGCAGCAG